GAUGAACGCUGGCGGCGUGCUUAACACAUGCAAGUCGAACGAAGCAUUUAGAACAGAUUGCUUCGGUUUGAAGUUCUUUAUGACUGAGUGGCGGACGGGUGAGUAACGCGUGGGUAACCUGCCUUGUACUGGGGGAUAGCAGCUGGAAACGGCUGGUAAUACCGCAUAAGCGCACAAUGUUGCAUGACAUGGUGUGAAAAACUCCGGUGGUAUAAGAUGGACCCGCGUCUGAUUAGCUAGGUGGUGAGAUAACAGCCCACCAAGGCGACGAUCAGUAGCCGACCUGGGAGGGUGACCGGCCACAUGGGGACUGAGACACGGCCCAGACUCCUACGGGAAGCAGCAGGGGGGAAUAUUGCACAAUGGAGGAAACUCUGAUGCAGCGACGCCGCGGGAGUGAAGAAGUAAUUCGUUAUGUAAAGCUCUAUCAGCAGGGAAGAUAGUGACGGUACCUGACUAAGAAGCUCCGGCUAAAUACGUG
rnacentral:rRNA from 1 species